rnacentral:rRNA from 1 species
UGAACGCUGGCGGCAUGCUUUACACAUGCAAGUCGGACGGCAGCACAGAGAAGCUUGCUUCUUGGGUGGCGAGUGGCGAACGGGUGAGUAACAUAUCGGAACGUACCGAGCAGUGGGGGAUAACUAAUCGAAAGAUUAGCUAAUACCGCAUAUCUUCUGAGGAAGAAAGCAGGGGACCAUUUGGCCUUGCGCUGUUUGAGCGGCCGAUAUCUGAUUAGCUAGUUGGUGGGGUAAAGGCCUACCAAGGCGACGAUCAGUAGCGGGUCUGAGAGGAUGAUCCGCCACACUGGGACUGAGACACGGCCCAGACUCCUACGGGAGGCAGCAGUGGGGAAUUUUGGACAAUGGGCGCAAGCCUGAUCCAGCCAUGCCGCGUGUCUGAAGAAGGCCUUCGGGUUGUAAAGGACUUUUGUCAGGGAAGAAAAGGGCGGGGUUAAUACCCCUGUCUGAUGACGGUACCUGAAGAAUAAGCACCGGCUAACUACGUG